AGGGAAUAUUGCACAAUGGGCGAAAGCCUGAUGCAGCAACGCCGCGUGCGCGAUGACGGCCUUCGGGUUGUAAAGCGCUUUUCGGGGAGAUGAGGAAGGACAGUAUCCCCGGAAUAAGGCUCGGCUGACUACGUGCCAGCAGCCGCGGUAACACGUAGGAGCCAAGCGUUAUCCGAAUUCACUGGGCGUAAAGCGCGUGUAGGCGGCUUGGUAAGUUGGAUGUGAAAGCUCCUGGCUCAACUGGGAGAGGACGUUCAAUACUGCCGGGCUAGAGGGCGACAGAGGGAGGUGGAAUUCCCGGUGUAGUGGUGAAAUGCGUAGAUAUCGGGAGGAACACCAGUGGCGAAAGCGGCCUCCUGGGUCGCACCUGACGCUCAGACGCGAAAGCUAGGGGAGCGAACGG
rnacentral:rRNA from 1 species